rnacentral:lncRNA from 1 species
GACAAACCAAACCACCCGACCACCAUCGCUGCACACGCCACUCCACCUGGAAGAGGACGUUAACCAACUUGGAAAAAACAAAAAACAUCAAAUUGGAAUUGAUGCACGAAAUAAAAAAACAAAUAAAACUUUAAUAAAAAAUUAAGAAAAAAAAUCAGGAAAAAAAAAGAAUAGGGAUUGAAGUUGAAAUACCAAAAACAAAGAGGGCCAAACUAUACUUUUUAGGGAAGGAGAGAAAAUAAAAAAGAGUACACUAACAACAAACCAAACCACCCG